UACGUAGGGGGCAAGCGUUAUCCGGAAUUACUGGGUGUAAAGGGAGCGUAGACGGUAAUGUAAGUCUGGAGUGAAAGGCGGGGGCCCAACCCCCGGACUGCUCUGGAAACUAUGUUACUAGAGUGCAGGAGAGGUAAGCGGAAUUCCUAGUGUAGCGGUGAAAUGCGUAGAUAUUAGGAGAAACACCAGUGGCGAAGGCGGCUUACUGGACUGUAACUGACGUUGAGGCUCGAAAGCGUGGGGAGCAAACAGG
rnacentral:rRNA from 1 species